rnacentral:lncRNA from 1 species
UCGUUACUCGUUACUCGUUACUCGUUACAUUGGCAUGGGAUUUUCAUCUUUAUUUAUUUUGUUUGAACUGGGCAUCGUAUGUUGAAGUGUAGAGUCCAACAUGUGUAUUAAUCAGGGAUCUGGAGUUGGGUUGUUCGUGGGUUGCAUUCAACAUACGGCAGCUGCUAUGCAAAUGGGCUUUCGAAGGUGCCUAAUGAAGCAACGCAGAGCACAGUAAUCUGCAUAUGAAUGGCCCUUUGGUGAGAGCUGUAUUCCGGGAUCCAGAUGAAGUUCCAAAUUUUUUGUUUUUGACAGGGUAUGGUGGACUCGUGAGCAUUGAUCUAUCACUUCUGACAAAGCCCAGUUGAGGCUACUAACUGUUUGUUGCUGCUGGCCCAUAUAACAAUAGAGAAGAUGAUAGGUUGUUUCUAAUUGGCAAAGCCCGCUUCGCGUGAAGGAGAUGCACAUGCAGCCAGCACACCCGUGACAUACUAACUGCCAUCACCGAGUAUGGCAAUCUGCGAAAGCUAUUGCCUAUGAGCUCUCUUUUGGACACAAGUUUGCCCCAUUUUACCUUUUUAUAUUCGUGUGAAGAAGAUGCCCAUGCAGCCAGCACUCCCGUGAACUUUGAAAUCAAGAUUCAAUAACCCGUGACACAUUAACUGCAUCCUCGCACGUGGCAAUCUGCGGAAGCUAUUGCCCAUUAGCUCUCUUUUGCCCCAUUUUACCUUUUAAUAUUCUUUUUUGGAUUAAUUCAUCUUUUGGCCGGAAUUAAUGGCAUAGCAUUCAUUCCCUUUUAAUGGAACCUAUAUUAAAACCUUUAUUCUAUUUGAUUUCCAAUACGCUACGGCUUAUUGCAGCCAAGUCGGGAAAUUUUGAAGGUGCUUAAUAAUUGGCUAGGAAUCAGGUUACAAUAAGUUAAUAAUACUUUUAAGCUUAUGAUUUGAGUUUAUCAAUUAAACAAACAAACUAAUUCUUGUCAAAUACGCUCAUAAUUUAGUAACUUCAAUAAUGAAUAUAUUUGUAAAUAAAUUUUUAUUAAAUAAUUAAUUACUUAUUGACUAAUUAUAAACAUUUAUGAGAUGCUGAAACAAACGUCCUCUUAAUUAGGCCGUGAACGCAUCUGCACAAAAUAAAUUGUCCUCCACCAAUUUAAGGCCUGCUUAGCGCCAAAUCCUAGCGUCUGAAUAUGGUGUUCUGGCUCCGAUAGCACAUUGAAAAUGAAAGCUGCCAACUGCAACUUGGGUAAUGAGGAC